rnacentral:rRNA from 1 species
CACGGGGGUUGCGAGCGUUGUCCGGAUUUACUGGGCGUAAAGCGCGUGUAGGUGGUUCUGUAAGUAGGGCGUGAAAGCUCCCGGCUCAACUGGGAGAGGCCGUUCUAAACUGCAGAGCUAGAGGAUGGUAGAGGGAGGUGGAAUUCCAGGUGUAGCGGUGAAAUGCGUAGAUAUCAGGAAGAACACCGAUGGCGAAGGCAGCACACUGGCGCAAUACUGACGCUCAUGCACGAAAGCGUGGGGAGCAAACAGG